rnacentral:rRNA from 1 species
GGGGGCUAGCGUUGUUCGGAAUUACUGGGCGUAAAGCGCACGUAGGCGGCUUUGUAAGUUAGCGGUGAAAGCCCGGGGCUCAACUCCGGAAUUGCCUUUAAGACUGCAUCGCUAGAAUUGUGGAGAGGUAAGUGGAAUUCCGAGUGUAGAGGUGAAAUUCGUAGAUAUUCGGAAGAACACCAGUGGCGAAGGCGACUUACUGGACACAUAUUGACGCUGAGGUGCGAAAGCGUGGGGAGCAAACAGG